CUAUACAUGCAGUCGAGCGAACUGAUUAGAAGCUUGCUUCUAUGACGUUAGCGGCGGACGGGUGAGUAACACGUGGGCAACCUGCCUGUAAGACUGGGAUAACUUCGGGAAACCGAAGCUAAUACCGGAUAGGAUCUUCUCCUUCAUGGGAGAUGAUUGAAAGAUGGUUUCGGCUAUCACUUACAGAUGGGCCCGCGGUGCAUUAGCUAGUUGGUGAGGUAACGGCUCACCAAGGCAACGAUGCAUAGCCGACCUGAGAGGGUGAUCGGCCACACUGGGACUGAGACACGGCCCAGACUCCUACGGGAGGCAGCAGUAGGGAAUCUUCCGCAAUGGACGAAAGUCUGACGGAGCAACGCCGCGUGAGUGAUGAAGGCUUUCGGGUCGUAAAACUCUGUUGUUAGGGAAGAACAAGUACAAGAGUAACUGCUUGUACCUUGACGGUACCUAACCAGAAAGCCACGGCUAACUACGUGCCAGCAGCCGCGGUAAUACGUAGGUGGCAAGCGUUAUCCGGAAUUAUUGGGCGUAAAGCGCGCGCAGGCGGUUUCUUAAGUCUGAUGUGAAAGCCCACGGCUCAACCGUGGAGGGUCAUUGGAAACUGGGGAACUUGAGUGCAGAAGAGAAAAGCGGAAUUCCACGUGUAGCGGUGAAAUGCGUAGAGAUGUGGAGGAACACCAGUGGCGAAGGCGGCUUUUUGGUCUGUAACUGACGCUGAGGCGCGAAAGCGUGGGGAGCAA
rnacentral:rRNA from 1 species